rnacentral:rRNA from 1 species
UGUCUGAACAUGGGGGGACCAUCCUCCAAGGCUAAAUACUCCUUACCGACCGAUAGUGAACCAGUACCGUGAGGGAAAGGCGAAAAGAACCCCGUUGAGGGGAGUGAAAUAGAACCUGAAACCGUGUGCGUACAAGCAGUAGGAGCAGACUUGUUCUGUGACUGCGUACCUUUUGUAUAAUGGGUCAGCGACUUAUAUUUUGUAGCGAGGUUAACCGAAUAGGGGAGCCGUAGUGAAAGCGAGCGUUAACUGCGCGUCUAGUUGCAAGGUAUAGACCCGAAACCCGGUGAUCUAGCCAUGGGCAGGUUGAAGGUUGAGUAACAUCAACUGGAGGACCGAACCCACUGACUUUGAAAAGUCAGGGGAUGACCUGUGGCUGGGGGUGAAAGGCCAAUCAAACCCGGAGAUAGCUGGUUCUCCCCGAAAGCUAUUUAGGUAGCGCCUCGGACGAACACCAUGGGGGGUAGAGCACUGUUAAGGCUAGGGGGUCAUCCCGACUUACCAACCCUUUGCAAACUCCGAAUACCCAUGAGUGCUAUCCGGGAGACACACGGCGGGUGCUAACGUCCGUCGUGAAGAGGGAAACAACCCAGACCGC